UACGUAGGGGGCUAGCGUUGUCCGGAAUCAUUGGGCGUAAAGAGCGUGUAGGCGGCCCGGUAAGUCCGCUGUGAAAGUCGGGGGCUCAACCCUCGAAUGCCGGUGGAUACUGUCGGGCUAGAGUGCGGAAGAGGCGAGUGGAAUUCCUGGUGUAGCGGUGAAAUGCGCAGAUAUCAGGAGGAACACCUGAGGCGAAGGCGGGUUACUGGGCUGAUACUGACGCUGAGGCGCGAAAGCAUGGGGAGCGAACAGG
rnacentral:rRNA from 1 species